UACGAAGGGGGCUAGCGUUGCUCGGAAUCACUGGGCGUAAAGGGUGCGUAGGCGGGUCUUUAAGUCAGGGGCGAAAUCCUGGAGCUCAACUCCAGAACUGCCUUUGAUACUGAAGAUCUUGAGUUCGGGAGAGGUGAGUGGAACUGCGAGUGUAGAGGUGAAAUUCGUAGAUAUUCGCAAGAACACCAGUGGCGAAGGCGGCUCACUGGCCCGAUACUGACGCUGAGGCACGAAAGCGUGGGGAAGCAAC
rnacentral:rRNA from 1 species